rnacentral:rRNA from 1 species
CCUACGGGUGGCAGCAGUGGGGAAUAUUGGACAAUGGGCGAAAGCCUGAUCCAGCCAUGCCGCGUGUGUGAAGAAGGCCUUCGGGUUGUAAAGCACUUUCAGUGGGGAAGAAAGCCUUGGGGCUAAUACCCUCGAGGAAGGACAUCACCCACAGAAGAAGCACCGGCUAACUCCGUGCCAGCAGCCGCGGUAAUACGGAGGGUGCGAGCGUUAAUCGGAAUUACUGGGCGUAAAGCGCGCGUAGGCGGUCUGAUAAGCCGGUUGUGAAAGCCCCGGGCUCAACCUGGGAACGGCAUCCGGAGUGAUCAGGGUUGAGUGUUGGAGAGGAGGGUAGAAUCCCCGGUGUAGCGGUGAAAUGGGGAGAGAUCGGGAGGAAUACGGGUGGCGAAGGGGGCCUCGUGGCCAAACCCGGACGCUGAGGUGCGAGAGCGUGGGGACAAAACAGGAUUAGAUCCCCGAGUAGUC